AGAGCAAGUCAGGACACAGCAUGGACAUGAGGGCCCCUGCUCAGCUCCUGGGGCUCCUGCUGCUCUUGUUCCCAGGUGCCAGAUGUGACAUCCAGGUGACCCAGUCUCCAUCCUCCCUGUCUGCUUCUCAAGGAAACAGAGUCACCAUCACUUGCAAGGCCAGUCAAAGCAUUAGUGAUUACUUAAACUGGUAUCAGCAGAAACCAGGGAAAGCUCCUAAACUCCUCAUCUAUAGGGCAUCCAGCUUAGAAAGUGGGGUUCCAUCGAGGUUCAGUGGCAGUGGAUCUGGGACAGAUUUCACUCUCACCAUCGCCAGCUUGGAGCCUGAAGAUGUUGGAAUUUAUCACUGUCAGCAGUAUGAUAGUUACCCUCCCACAGUGAUACAAGCCAUGACAUAA